GAGAGACCUGUGAUAGUAAAAAUGGAGGAAGGUAACUCUUCUGUACGAGAAAUUGACUUGCAGUAGAACAGCCAGGAAGUCUUCUGCCAGUGCUUUAGACAGCUCUGCUACCAGGAGACACCUGGACCCAGGGAGGCUCUAAGCCAGCUCUGGGAACUUUGCCAUAAGUGGCUACGAUCAGAGGAUCAUAACAAGGAGCAGAUCUUGGAACUGCUGGUGCUGGAGCAUUUCCUGUCCAUCCCACCCGAGGAGCUCCAGUGUUGGGUACAAGAGCAUCAUCCAUUGAAUGGAAAUGAAGCUGUGUCUUUGCUGGAAGAUUGGAGAGGGAACUUGAUGAUCCUGGAUUUCAGGUGGGAAGAGGAGGUGUGUCUUGUGGUAGCAAAAUGAGCAUUCAAUGGUUAGGUCAAUAGUGAAGCAGUGAGGGCAACAUUACUGAGUUUUCAUUCCUAUUAGGCUUCACUGGUAGUGUCAGUUCCUUUUUCUAUAUCAUCUCUCCUUCUAAUUCCAUUGAGUCCCUUUUCCCUAUUCUGUUUCCAUAGGAAUGUUUCCUGAGGUUUCAGAUCUAGUUCCCACAGACGUUUCCUCUCAAGUACAAUGGUCCCUAAUUGUCUCCAAGGCACAUCCCAAGCAGAUGGACUGGAAGUGCUCUGGGAGGAGGUGAUAUCUCUGGGAGCUGCACAGCAGUCACCAUGUUAUCACCUCCAACACAUAGAGACCCUGCUCAAGGAUGACCCUUUGGAACCCUAUUCUCCACAAGAAAGAGACAGUGAAACUAGGCCUGAGACUGGUAAUUUGGCUCCAAAGCAGGAAGCAUCCAAAGGAAUGGAAUCACAGAAGACGCUGUUCAGUAGAAUCUGCAAAGGCAGGAACAUUUUUCAGGAUACUCAUUUUGGAGACCUUCAUGAAUGCAAGGACAGGUUUGAAAAGCAUCAAGGAAGUUUAAAGGAAGGAAAAGAACACACAUGUGAUCAGUGUGGGAAGUUUCACGCACAACGUCAGUCUUAUUGGACAUCAGAGAAUCUAUACAUGGGAAAAACCCUCUAUGUAUAAACAACGUGGGAGAGUCCUCAGUCAAAACAAAACCUCUUUUAAACACCUCAGAAUUCACACUGGUGAGAAACCUUAUCAGUGUUACCAGUGUGGUAAGUUUUAGUCGAGGCUCAGUCCUUAUUAAACAUCGGAUAAAUCACGCUAGGGAGGAGGCUUAUGAGCGCAGUGAAUGUGGUAAAACCUUCAGUAACAGCAUGGGACUUACCCAGCAUCAGAGAUUCCAUACCUUAAUAAAAUAUUAUCAGUGCAAUGAGUGUAGGAAAGCUUUCAGGGAAAGCUUUUCAAACCUCACUAAACAUCAGCGAAUUCAUACAGGAGAAAAAUCUUAUGAAUGUGAUGAAUAUGGAAGAGCCUUUGGUGGAAGUUCUGAUCUUACUGGACAUCAGAGAAUUCACACUGGGUAGAAACCCUUUGAAUGUGAUGAAUAUGGGAAGGCCUUCCAUCUGAGCUGACAUCUCACUGAACACCAGAGUCCACAACAGGAGUGACCUCACUUUCCCCAGUCACCCUGUGUACACUGAAGCUUCCAUGCCUUUUUCUUCCAUUUCUCCCCCUUUACACCCAGAAUGCCCUCUUUGUUGUUUCCCCAAUCAGAUCUUAUUACUUUUUUUUAGGUCUUCUUAGGUUUAUUUUACUUUUUAUUUUCUAAAAUUUUAUUUUAUUUUGGAUUCAGAGGGUACAUGUGCAGGUUUAUUACAUGAAUAUAUUGCAAAAUGGUGUUUGGGCUUACCCAUUAACCAAAUGGUGACCAUUGUACCAAAUGAAUAAUUUGUCAACCCUCACUCCUAUCCCAACCCGCUCCCCCAUCCCCAGUUUGUAGUCCCCAGUGUCUAUUGUUUCCAUCUUUAUGUCCAUAUGUCCCCAUUGUUUAGCUCCCACUUAUAAGCGAGAACAUGUGGUAUUUGAUUUUCUGUUUCUGAUUUAUGUAACUCAGGAUAAUGGCCUCCAGUUUCAUCCAUGUUGUUGCACAGAGCAUGAUUUUGUUCUUUUUUUGUGGCUAUGUAGUAUUUCAUGUUUGUUGGCUGCUUGGAUGCCUUCUUUUGAGAAAUGUUGGUUUAUGUCCUUUGCUCACUUUUUUUUUUCUUUUUUUUCUUUGAGACGGAGUUUUGCUCUUGUUGCCCAGGCUGGAGUGCAAUGGCACAAUCUCGAGUCACCACAACCUCCGCCUCCCGGGUUCAAGAGGUUCUCCUGCCUCAGCCUCCCGAGUAGCUGGGAUUACAGGCAUGCGCUACUAUGCCUGGCUAAUUUUGUAUAUUUUUUUAGUAGAGACGGGGUUUCUCCAUGUUGGUCAGGCUGAUCUCGAACUCCUGACCUCAGGUGAUCCGCCUGCCUCGGCCUCCCAAAGUGCUGGUAUUACAGGCGCGAGCCACCGUGUCUGGCCUUUUGCCCACUUUUUAAUGGGGUCUUUUUUUUUUUUCUUUUGGAGUUGUUUGAGUUCCCUGUAGAUUCCAGACAUUAGUCCUUUGUCAGAGGCAUAAUGCAAAUUUUUCUCCCAUUCUGUAGAUUGCCUGUUUACUCUGUUGAUUGCUUCUUUUUCUGUGCAGAGGCUUUUUAGUUUAAUUAAGCCCAUUUGUCUAUUUUUGUUUUUGUUGCAUUUGCUUUUGGGCCAACCAAAUUUUACAUAUGUCUUACCAUAGCCCUGUUUAGAAUAAACAAGCAUUCUGAAUGCUGAACCUCCUAGAGGUUGUGUAACAGUACCCAUAAUGUGUCAUUAAAAACAGGUUUGGCUGAAAUGUUAGUGAGCCCCUUGGGCUCCUACCUUGUGUGCUUUCAGUUAACUUGGUGACAAUUGGGUUUGCCUCCUGAAAACAAGAUAUUGCUUCUUGAGGAAGAGAAGAGCAAUCCCUUUCUGGAGAUAUUGGAAAACACUAGUACUCAAGUAGGCAUUGGUCACCUUAUGCAGAGGGAGCCUGUGAUGCUGACCCAGACAUACUCCAGGCUGCAAUGAGAGUCAGAGGAAGAUCCUUUCUAGAUAGUAUUUUGUACAUUGCUGAUGCCACUGUACACCAGACAUCUAGGUAGGAUAGACCCAAGAGGAAGUG
ensembl:lncRNA